rnacentral:rRNA from 1 species
UACGGAGGGUGCGAGCGUUGUCCGGAAUCAUUGGGCGUAAAGGGCGCGUAGGCGGGCUGUCAAGUCUGGGGUGAAAUCCCGCGGCUCAACCGUGGAACUGCCUUAGAUACUGACGGCCUCGAGGGAGAUAGGGGCGAGCGGAACUGUGAGUGGAGCGGUGAAAUGCGUUGAUAUUCACAGGAACUCCGGUGGCGAAGGCGGCUCGCUGGAUCUUUUCUGACGCUGAGGAGCGAAAGCUAGGGGAGCAAACGGG